UACGUAGGGGGCAAGCGUUGUCUGGAUUUAUUGGGCGUAAAGCGCUCGUAGGUGGUUCGUUGCGUCGUGCGUGAAAGUCCCCGGCUCAACUGGGGAGGGUCGUGCGAUACGGGCGGACUGGAGGCCAGUAGGGGGAUGCGGAAUUCCGGGUGUAGUGGUGGAAUGCGUAGAGAUCCGGAGGAACACCAGCGGCGAAGGCGGCAUCCUGGACUGGUCCUGACACUCAGGAGCGAAAGCGUGGGGAGCGAUCCGG
rnacentral:rRNA from 1 species